rnacentral:rRNA from 1 species
UACGAAGGGGGCUAGCGUUGCUCGGAAUGACUGGGCGUAAAGGGCGCGUAGGCGGAUGGUACAGUCAGAUGUGAAAUUCCCGGGCUCAACCUGGGGGCUGCAUUUGAUACGUAUGAUCUUGAGUGGGGAAGAGGGUCGUGGAAUUCCCAGUGUAGAGGUGAAAUUCGUAGAUAUUGGGAAGAACACCGGUGGCGAAGGCGGCGACCUGGACCAAUAUUGACGCUGAGGAGCGAAAGCCAGGGGAGCAAACGGG